rnacentral:rRNA from 1 species
UAGGGAAUCUUCGGCAAUGGGGGCAACCCUGACCGAGCAACGCCGCGUGAGUGAAGAAGGUUUUCGGAUCGUAAAGCUCUGUUGUAAGAGAAGAACGUGUGUGAGAGUGGAAAGUUCACACAGUGACGGUAACUUACCAGAAAGGGACGGCUAACUACGUGCCAGCAGCCGCGGUAAUACGUAGGUCCCGAGCGUUGUCCGGAUUUAUUGGGCGUAAAGCGAGCGCAGGCGGUUUAAUAAGUCUGAAGUUAAAGGCAGUGGCUUAACCAUUGUUCGCUUUGGAAACUGUUAAACUUGAGUGCAGAAGGGGAGAGUGGAAUUCCAUGUGUAGCGGUGAAAUGCGUAGAUAUAUGGAGGAACACCGGUGACGAAAGCGGCUCUCUGGUCUGUAACUGACGCUGAGGCUCGAAAGCGUGGGGAGCAAACAGG